rnacentral:rRNA from 1 species
UGGGGAAUAUUGCACAAUGGGCGAAAGCCUGAUGCAGCAACGCCGCGUGCGGGAAGAAGGCCUUAGGGUUGUAAACCGCUUUCAGCAGGGAAGAAAAUGACGGUACCUGCAGAAGAAGGUGCGGCCAACUACGUGCCAGCAGCCGCGGUGACACGUAGGCACCAAGCGUUGUCCGGAUUUAUUGGGCGUAAAGAGCUCGUAGGCGGUUUGGUAAGUCGGGUGUGAAAACUCUGGGCUCAACCCAGAGAGGCCACUCGAUACUGCUAUGACUUGAGUACGGUAGGGGAGUGGGGAAUUUCUAGUGUAGCGGUGAAAUGCGCAGAUAUUAGAAGGAACACCAGUGGCGAAGGCGCCACUCUGGGCCGUAACUGACGCUGAGGAGCGAAAGCGUGGGUAGCAAACAGG